GCCAGGCAUGGUGGCGCAUGCCUAUAAUCCCAGUAAUUUAGGAGGCUGAGGCAGGAGGAUUGAAAGUUGAGGUCCCAAUUCAGCUUAGUGAGGUCCUAAGCAACUUAGUUUGAGACCCUAUCUCUA
rnacentral:sRNA from 1 species